UGGGGAAUUUUGCACAAUGGGGGAAACCCUGAUGCAGCGACGCCGCGUGAUUUAGAAGGCCUUCGGGUUGUAAAAAUCUUUUCUAUGGGAAGAAAAUGACAGUACCAUAGGAAUAAGGACCGGCUAAUUACGUGCCAGCAGCCGCGGUAAUACGUAAGGUCCGAGCGUUGUCCGGAAUCAUUGGGCGUAAAGGGUACGUAGGCGGGUAAGCAAGUUAGAAGUGAAAUCCUAUAGCUCAACUAUAGUAAGCUUUUAAAACGGCUCAUCUUGAGGUAUGGAAGGGAAAGUGGAAUUCCUAGUGUAGCGGUGAAAUGCGCAGAUAUUAGGAGGAAUACCGGUGGCGAAGGCGACUUUCUGGCCAUAACCUGACGCUGAGGUACGAAAGCGUGGGUAGCAAACAGG
rnacentral:rRNA from 1 species